rnacentral:rRNA from 1 species
AUUGAACGCUGGCGGCAUGCUUUACACAUGCAAGUCGAACGGCAGCGCGGGCUUCGGCCUGGCGGCGAGUGGCGAACGGGUGAGUAAUACAUCGGAACGUGCCCAGUAGUGGGGGAUAGCUCGGCGAAAGCCGGAUUAAUACCGCAUACGACCUGAGGGUGAAAGCGGGGAUCUUCGGACCUCGCGCUAUUGGCGCGGCCGAUGGCAGAUUAGCUAGUUGGUGGGGUAAAGGCCUACCAAGGCGACGAUCUGUAGCUGGUCUGAGAGGACGACCAGCCACACUGGGACUGAGACACGGCCCAGACUCCUACGGGAGGCAGCAGUGGGGAAUUUUGGACAAUGGGCGAAAGCCUGAUCCAGCAAUGCCGCGUGUGUGGUGAAGGCCUUCGGGUUGUAAAGCACUUUUGGCGGGAACGAAAAGGACUGUGCCAAUACCACGGUUCGAUGACGGUACCCGCAGAAUAAGCACCGGCUAACUACGUG